GACGAACGCUGGCGGCGUGCUUAACACAUGCAAGUCGAACGGAAAGGCCCUGCUUUUGUGGGGUGCUCGAGUGGCGAACGGGUGAGUAACACGUGAGUAACCUGCCCUUGACUUUGGGAUAACUUCAGGAAACUGGGGCUAAUACCGGAUAGGAGCUCCUGCUGCAUGGUGGGGGUUGGAAAGUUUCGGCGGUUGGGGAUGGACUCGCGGCUUAUCAGCUUGUUGGUGGGGUAGUGGCUUACCAAGGCUUUGACGGGUAGCCGGCCUGAGAGGGUGACCGGCCACAUUGGGACUGAGAUACGGCCCAGACUCCUACGGGAGGCAGCAGUGGGGAAUAUUGCACCAUGGGCGGAAGCCUGAUGCAGCAACGCCGCGGGCGGGAUGACGGCCUUCGGGUUGUAAACCGCUUUCGCCUGUGACGAAGCGUGAGUGACGGUAAUGGGUAAAGAAGCACCGGCUAACUACGUG
rnacentral:rRNA from 1 species